rnacentral:tRNA from 5 species
GCUGCUGGCCGAGCUGGUGGAGGAACUGCGCCGCGAGAGCGUGGAGUUCGAAACCCACUGGCAGCGCCA